AAACUAUCCAUUACUUCGCCAAUGGGAAAAGAUCCGUUGUUGAGUUUAGAUGUCUGCAACAAGCUGCGGCGAUAUGUAAAACAGUUUUCGCUGCGUCGCUAGUGAUUGUUGAUUGACUCAACGAAUGAAGACCAAAGUUACUACUUCCUUGUAAUCUUCCUUUGGAUUUCAUACCGUAGCUGAAUUUAAAAUGUGGAGUUCCAUCCAAUAAAGUUCUCUGCUUCCAAAGAAAAGUCUAAGAUGAGUUCCUCUUUUCAUUGAAACGGCUGUAAUCAUAAUGUAGUUGAAGUAAUAGUUUCUGCAUCUACUCAACCUUACCAACUCCAAGUAAUUUUUCACAAGAAAUAAUAAAGACAUUUUUUUCGUCAGAAAUUACAAGAUCAAUGAAUGUACGACGUUUCUGUUGUUGUUUUUGAUUUUUUAGAAAGUUUAGCUGCAUAAGCAAAUAUAAAAGAUGAAAACAGAUUAAAUUAUUGGAAGUAAAAUUUAAAAAAAAAAAAUUAAAAAAAAAAAAUCAUUCAAUUAGCCGAGUUUA